AAUAACUGGUGUCAUAAUAGCUAACAUUUACCGAGGACCUACCACCUACCUAGCACUGCUCCAAAACUUUUACAUCUAUUAACUAUCAUAAUCCUCACAACUAGCCUGUGAAAUACGUUCUAUUAUUUCCAUUUUACAGAGGAAAGAACUGAAGCUCUGUAACGUGAAGUAGUUUGUGCAAGUUCCAAAGCUAAAAUCACAAAGCUGGGAUUUGAUCCAGGCAGUCCGACUCUCACGGCCCGCUUAAAUUCAGCACUGCAACUGCCUCUCCGUCUCUCCCCAGCUCCUGGCAUACACCUCCGUCUCAGGGCAGCAGAGCGGGUGCAGAGAGCAAAUCUACAAAUGGUGCACAAGGAACCAGAAGGUAGGAGUUGACUCUGGCCUGGAAAAUGUUCAGCGGAUUCUGUGUUGCUCACGGGGGGCGCUGACAGUUUAUCCUCACCUCCUGGCUUGUGGCCUGAAUAGAAUCUCCACAGAUUGGAGUACUGGGUGUAAGCCUGUGUUAGGUGCCUGUGUGCCUGGUCUUGCAUGGCAGGGAGGCACAGAGAAAAGCCCUGAUGCAGGAGAGUGACAGAGAAGACUGGACAGAGGCCUGAAAGUCCUUUGGAUGUUGAGGAUGAGCGUUAACUUUGUCAGUAUCAGGAAACUGGGGACUUCUCUCUCGAUAAGAAAGAACGGAAAAAGAAAAUCUCCCUUUUUAUUCAAUUCAAUUCAAUAAAUGUUUAUUGAACACCUACUGUAUGCCUGGCAUUGUAUUAAGUACUGUGGAGUCCCUAAAGAUGAACAAGAUCCUAACUUUAUCCUCUAGGAGCAGGUGUGCCCUCAAUAAACCGAGGUACGAAAGGACAUGGCUUGUAAAGAAGUCAACCCACUGAAGGUUGCCCUCUGAGCCUCAUGGGCUCUCUUGGUUUUGGCUGCAUCUGGAUUUCCACAUAAAGCUCAUCUCCUUCCUUGGCCUCCACUUGAAAAUUAAACACUCUAAGCAGGCAUUGCUGAGUGUCACUCAGUAUGUCUGAUGCUUUGCUGGAGCUGUGGGAUGUGAUGGUGGAGGGGGUAACACUCUGAGCUCUUAGGGUUUACCUAAAACAUGCCAGUUCCACAGGUUUCUCCCUAAUCACCCCUCCCAGCCCCAGCCGUGAGGCUGAACCUCUUCCAGCCUCCACCUAGGCCUCUCCCCGACUCCCGCCAUUUUCCUUUGGCAGAUUCAUUUUCUCCCAUAGAAACCCGGGGUUCCAAACAGGACUGGGAGGUUCUUUCUCCUUCUGUAGACCCCUCGUCAAUACCAAGUGUCUUUUUUUACCGAGAAACUCAUUCUCUGCAAAGGAAUGCUAAGAGAAGCGCUUGGAAAAUAUACACAGACAUAGGAUUUACCAGUUGCUAUCGUUGUGUACCCUCAACUUCACAUGUUGAAACCUAACCCCCGAUGUGAUGGUAUUAGGAGGUGUGGCCUUUGGGAGGUAUUAGGUCAUGAGAGCAGAGCCCUCAUGGAUGGGGUUAGUGCUUUUAUAAAAGAGACCCCAGAGAACUCCCUUGCCUCUUCUGUCAUGUGAGGACUCAGUAGGAAACCAUCACCCGUGAAUCAGGAAACAGGCCCUCACCAGACAAUAAAUCUGCCAGCAACUUGAGGUUGGACUUCCCAGCCUCCAGAACUGUAAGAAAUUUCUAUUGUUUAUCAGCCACCCAAUUUAUGCUAUUUGGUGAUAGCAGCUUGAAUGGACUAAGACAUUAAUUAGUCACUAGUUUUUUUUUGAUUGAGGUAAAAUAUACAUAACAUAAAAUUCAACAUUUUACCCAUUUUAAUGUGUGCAAUUCAGUGGCUUUUAGUACAUUCACAAUGUUGUGCCUCAUUGUCAAAUUCCAGAACAUUUUCCUCACCCCCAAAAGAAACCCUGUACCUAUUAGGCAUUUACUUCUCAUUUACCGCUACCCCAGUGAUCAGUAAUUAUUUGUGUUGACAAAACUCGUUCCAUUUACAUGGCUGUAUGAUUUAAUUUUCUCACUUGAGACAUCAGAA
ensembl:lncRNA